rnacentral:rRNA from 1 species
AAAUCGUACAAGGUUUCCGUAGGUGAACCCUGCGUGAAGGAU